rnacentral:rRNA from 1 species
UAUGGCUCAGAACGAACGCUGGCGGCGCGUCUUAAGCAUGCAAGUCGAACGGGAUCCACGCGCUUGCGCGUGGUGAGAGUGGCGGACUGGUGAGUAACGCGUAGGUGACGUACCCUCCGGACGGGGAUAGCCCUUAGAAAUAAGGGGUAAUACCGGAUACGGUUCCGUGUGUCAGAGGCACGGAAGGAAAGGAGCUUCGGCUCCGCCGGGGGAUCGGCCUGCGUCCCAUCAGCCAGUUGGCGGGGUAACGGCCCACCAAGGCAAUGACGGGUAUCCGGCCUAAGAGGGUGAACGGACACAUUGGGACUGAGAUACGGCCCAGACUCCUACGGGAGGCAGCAGCUAAGAAUAUUCCGCAAUGGGGGAAACCCUGACGGAGCGACGCCGCGUGGAACCGAUGAAGGCCGGAAGGUUGUAAAGUCCUUUAGUCUGUGAGGAAUAACGCCGGAGGGAAUGCCGGCGGAUGACUGUAGCAGAAGAAUAAGCACCGGCUAAUUACGUGCCAGCCGCGGC